UUAAGUUCAGCGGGUAGUCCUACCUGAUUUGAGGUCAAGCGUCAAGAAAGUAAAGCGUCCUCCGCCGAAGCAAAGUCCCCAGUACGAAUGUUUAGAAGCAAAGGGACGUCUAUGCCUCGCACUCCAGCCACGACGAUCAUUAUCACGUCGAAGGCCAUGCAUGCAGGGCUUGCCACCUUUCGCUAAUGCUUUUAAGGAGA
rnacentral:misc_RNA from 1 species